rnacentral:rRNA from 1 species
AGACCCGAAACCCGGUGAUCUAGCCAUGGGCAGGUUGAAGGUUGGGUAACACUAACUGGAGGACCGAACCGACUAAUGUUGAAAAAUUAGCGGAUGACCUGUGGCUGGGGGUGAAAGGCCAAUCAAACCGGGAGAUAGCUGGUUCUCCCCGAAAGCUAUUUAGGUAGCGCCUCGUGAAUUCAUCUCCGGGGGUAGAGCACUGUUUCGGCUAGGGGGCCAUCCCGGCUUACCAACCCGAUGCAAACUGCGAAUACCGGAGAAUGUUAUCACGGGAGACACACGGCGGGUGCUAACGUCCGUCGUGAAGAGGGAAACAACCCAGACCGCCAGCUAAGGUCCCAAAGUCAUGGUUAAGUGGGAAACGAUGUGGGAAGGCCCAGACAGCCAGGAUGUUGGCUUAGAAGCAGCCAUCAUUUAAAGAAAGCGUAAUAGCUCACUGGUCGAGUCGGCCUGCGCGGAAGAUGUAACGGGGCUAAACCAUGCACCGAAGCUGCGGCAGCGAACGUAUCACCCAAGACAACUUUACGGAGUUGACGAUUGACGGAGCGAAGCGACGUCAAAGCGUAUACAAAGUCGAGUUGGCUUAGGGAUACGUUCGUUGGGUAGGGGAGCGUUCUGUAAGCCUGUGAAGGUGGCCUGUGAGGGUU